AUACGUAGGUGGCAAGCGUUGUCCGGAAUUAUUGGGCGUAGAGCGCGCGCAGGUGGUUCCUUAAGUCUGAUGUGAAAGCCCCCGGCUCAACCGGGGAGGGUCAUUGGAAACUGGGGAACUUGAGUGCAGAAGAGGAUAGUGGAAUUCCAAGUGUAGCGGUGAAAUGCGUAGAGAUUUGGAGGAACACCAGUGGCGAAGGCGAGUUGCGGGUCUGUAACGGCAACUGAGGCGCGAAAGCGUGGGGAGCAAACAGGAUUAGAUACCCUGGUAGUCCACGCCGUAAACGAUGAGUGCUAAGUGUUGGGGGGUUUCCGCCCCUCAGUGCUGCAGCUAACGCAUUAAGCACCCCGCCUGGGGAGUACGGUCGCAAGACUGAAACUCAAAGGAAUUGACGGGG
rnacentral:rRNA from 1 species